rnacentral:rRNA from 1 species
UACGUAGGGUGCAAGCGUUGUCCGGAAUUAUUGGGCGUAAAGAGCUCGUAGGCGGUCUGUCGCGUCUGGUGUGAAAAUCCAGGGCUUAACCCUGGACCUGCAUCGGGUACGGGCAGACUAGAGUGCGGUAGGGGAGAUCGGAAUUCCUGGUGUAGCGGUGAAAUGCGCAGAUAUCAGGAGGAACACCAGUGGCGAAGGCGACUACCUGGCCUGUUCUUGACGCUGAGGCGCGAAAGCUAGGGGAGCAAACGGG